rnacentral:rRNA from 1 species
UACGUAGGGGGCUAGCGUUGUCCGGAAUCAUUGGGCGUAAAGCGCGUGUAGGCGGUCCGGUAAGUCCGCUGUGAAAGUCGGGGGCUCAACCCUCGGAUGCCGGUGGAUACUGUCGGGCUAGAGUGCGGAAGAGGCGAGUGGAAUUCCUGGUGUAGCGGUGAAAUGCGCAGAUAUCAGGAGGAACACCUAUUGCGAAGGCAGCUCGCUGGGACGUUACUGACGCUGAGACGCGAAAGCGUGGGGAGCAAACAGG